rnacentral:rRNA from 1 species
UACUCCUACGGGAGGCAGCCGUAGGGAAUUUUCGGCAAUGGGGGCAACCCUGACCGAGCAACGCCGCGUGAGUGAAGAAGGUUUUCGGAUCGUAAAACUCUGUUGUUAGAGAAGAACGUUAAGUAGAGGGAAAAUUACUUAAGUGACGGUAUCUAC